UACAGAGGAGCCAAGCGUUGUCCGGAUUGACUGGGCGUAAAGCGCACGCAGGCGGUCGCGCGCGUGGGGUGUGAAAUCUGGCCGCUUAACGGCCAGGCGCCAUCCCAUACGGCACGACUGGAGUGAUGCAGAGGUCGAUGGAAUUGCCGGUGUAGUGGUGAAAUGCGUAGAUAUCAGGAAGAACACCGGUGGCGAAAGCGCUCUGCUAGGCCGCAACUGACACUGAGGGACGAAAGCUAGGGGAGCGAAUGGG
rnacentral:rRNA from 1 species